UUGGAAAGUGGUCCGAAUGUGGUCAAUAUCCGGUUCCCCAUGAUAAGUACCUACAGUAUGAACGACAUCUAGACUUUUUUUCGUUACGUCGCGCAAUCCCACAAAAAUGUCUGAAUCAGAAAGACUAUUUUUCCUGAAGACAUUGCCCACAAAACUGUGGGGCACGAUUUGCAGGGCGAACGCGCGAUUGCGGGAAAAGCAGUGUGGGAACCGGAAAAAGUUCGCAAUUUCCUGUCAAGACCAAGGAAACAAUCGGGGAACAAUGUGCGUCAAUGGCAACUGCCCCAGCGGUUGGAGGAGCGUCUUCUAUGACAGUGGAUGCAAUGACGGCCAGAAAUGCUGUAUCUAGGCAG